UACGAAGGGGGCUAGCGUUGCUCGGAAUCACUGGGCGUAAAGCGCACGUAGGCGGCUUUCUAAGUCAGGGGUGAAAUCCUGGAGCUCAACUCCAGAACUGCCUUUGAUACUGGAGAGCUUGAGUCCGGGAGAGGUGAGUGGAACUCCGAGUGUAGAGGUGAAAUUCGUAGAUAUUCGGAAGAACACCAGUGGCGAAGGCAGCUCACUGGGACGGUAUUGACGCUGAGACGCGAAAGCGUGGGGAGCAAACAGG
rnacentral:rRNA from 1 species